rnacentral:snRNA from 1 species
GUGCCUUAAACUAAUGAGUAAGGAAAAAUGCAAGCCUUGGUGACGCUUGGCUUCGCCUAUAAUGGUUAGUUUGAAUUUUUGUACAGGCACAGGUCGUCCUCUAGAGUGAUUUGCCUACUUUUGCAAAUCGUUCGAGUGAUAGCGAUCUGCCUG